UNGUAGUGCCAUGUGCCUUCGUAGUGUCC
rnacentral:piRNA from 1 species